GUGGGGAAUAUUGGACAAUGGGCGCAAGCCUGAUCCAGCCAUACCGCGUGGGUGAAGAAGGCCUUCGGGUUGUAAAGCCCUUUUGUUGGGAAAGAAAUCCUGUCGGUUAAUACCUGGCGGGGAUGACGGUACCCAAAGAAUAAGCACCGGCUAACUUCGUGCCAGCAGCCGCGGUAAUACGAAGGGUGCAAGCGUUACUCGGAAUUACUGGGCGUAAAGCGUGCGUAGGUGGUGGUUUAAGUCCGUUGUGAAAGCCCUGGGCUCAACCUGGGAAUUGCAGUGGGUACUGGAUCACUAGAGUGUGGUAGAGGGAUGCGGAAUUUCUGGUGUAGCAGUGAAAUGCGUAGAGAUCAGAAGGAACAUCCGUGGCGAAGGCGGCAUCCUGGGCCAACACUGACACUGAGGCACGAAAGCGUGGGGAGCAAACAGGAUUAGAAACCCUUGUAGUCC
rnacentral:rRNA from 1 species